ACCAAAUCUAGCCCCAAAACCACUCAACACAAAUAUAACACCCACUAUUAAACAAAACAUUCACCCACCAUCUAAAGUAUAGGAGAUAGAAAUUUUAGACCGGCGCCAUAGAGAAAGUACCGUAAGGGAAAGAUGAAAGACCAAUUUACAGUAAAAAACAGCAAAGACAAAUACUUUUACCUUUUGCAUAAUGAGUUAACUAGAAUACCCUUGGCAAAGAGCACUUCAGUCAAGUACCCCGAAACCAGACGAGCUACUUACGGACAGCAACCAGAGCCAACUCGUCUAUGUCGCAAAAUAGUGAGAAGAUCCGUAAGUAGAGGUGAAAAGCCAACCGAGCCUGGUGAUAGCUGGUUGUCCAGGAUAGAAUUUUAGUUCAACUUAAAAUUUACCUCAAGAACCCAAAGGCAGUCCCACCGUAAAUUUUAAUUAUAGUCAAUAGAGGUACAGCUCUAUUGAAACGAGGAUUAAACCUCAGUCGAAGAGUAAACUACAACAACUUCCCAUUGUCGGCUUAAAAGCAGCCACCAACAAAGAUAGCGUUCAAGCUCGAAAACAGCACUACUCUAAAUCCCACAAACGACUAGUCACCUCCCGACACCCCACACUGGACCAAUCUAUAACCAAAUAGAAGAGACAAUGUUAACAUUAGUAACAAGAACACCUUUCUCCACGCAUAAGCUUAUAUCAGAACGGAUAUCCCACUGAUAGUUAACAACAAGGCAACUACAACCCACCAAACAACAACAUCCCACUAUCCAUUGUUAACCCAACACAGGCAUGCACACCGGAAAGACCCAAAGGAGUAGAAGGAACUCGGCAAACACGAAUCCCGCCUGUUUACCAAAAACAUCACCUCUAGCAUUACAAUUAUUAGAGGCAAUGCCUGCCCAGUGACAUACGUUCAACGGCCGCGGUACCCUGACCGUGCAAAGGUAGCAUAAUCACUUGUUCUCUAACUAAGGACCUGUAUGAAUGGCCAAACGAGGAUUCUACUGUCUCCUACCCCCAGUCAGUGAAAUUGACCUUCCCGUGAAGAGGCGGGAAUACACAUAUAAGACGAGAAGACCCUGUGGAGCUUCAAUUAACCAGCUCAACAAUAACCAAACACUCCCCGAAAGGAACAAACACCAUGUACCCAUGAGCUGCCAAUUUUGGUUGGGGUGACCUCGGAGCAAAACAAAACCUCCGAAUGAUAAGCACCAAGACCCACAAGUCAAAGUCCAUUUUAUCACCAAUUGACCCAAAACAUUGAUCAACGGAACAAGUUACCCCAGGGAUAACAGCGCAAUCCUAUUAAAGAGCCCCUAUCGACAAUAGGGUUUACGACCUCGAUGUUGGAUCAGGACAUCCAAAUGGUGCAGCCGCUAUUAAGGGUUCGUUUGUUCAACGAUUAAAGUCCUACGUGAUCUGAGUUCAGACCGGAGCAAUCCAGGUCGGUUUCUAUCUAUAACCAAUUUCUCCCAGUACGAAAGGACAAGAGAAAUGAGGCCAACCUCACACACGCGCCUUAACAUCCAAUAGAUGAAGUUAAUCUAAAUCUAAACCAUUACACCAAUUUUGCUCUAAACCAGAGCCUU
rnacentral:rRNA from 1 species